rnacentral:rRNA from 1 species
CAGCAGCCGCGGUAAUACAGAGGGUGCAAGCGUUAAUCGGACUUAUUGGGCGUAAAGGGUGCGUAGGUGGUCAUUUAAGUCAGAUGUGAAAUCCCAGGGCUUAACCUUGGAAUUGCAUUUGAUACUGGGUGGCUAGAGUACAGAAGAGGGAAGUGGAAUUUCCGGUGUAGCGGUGAAAUGCGUAGAUAUCGGAAGGAACAUCAGUGGCGAAGGCGACUUCCUGGUCUGUAACUGACACUGAGGCACGAAAGCGUGGGGAGCAAACAGGAUUAGAUACCCCUGUAGUCCCUGUCUCUUAUAC